rnacentral:tRNA from 1 species
GGGGCAUCGCUAAGGAAGUACGCGCAUCGCUGGCAGCGAUGAGGUCAGGGGUUCGAUCCCCCCUAGGCUCCA